ensembl:lncRNA
CGGUGAGGGAGGAACAGAGAACACAACCGCGGUAAACCUGGAGACCCGGGGACCUUUGAACGCAUCUCAUGGUGCCAGGGUUUGGCCCCUGAGGAUGGUGGAAACCUCUGGCGUGGAGAAAGUGGAAAGCUUCCUGCCACCAGGGGACACUUCUCAGGCUUGGUAGGAGGUGGCGCUGUUGGCGGGGAUUUGGGGCUUGUGUGAGGUCUUUUGCCAGGCCAAACCAUCGCUAAUGGCUUUAUCUUGCUCCUUUGGCAACAACAAGGUACGUGUGACCCCAGCCUGGCCAACCAAAGAAGCCCAGCCCCCUGGCCACAUUGAUUGAGCCAAGAGACGAGGACACAACUCGUCAGGUGCUCUCAGAGUCUUCUCUUGGCUUCAGACGCUGGAGGAGACUGUGGAGAGAGGAGAGGAGCCCCUCAGUUGGGAUGCUGUAAGCUUGCUGCAGUCUGACCGUGUGGAGUGAGACCGUCUACGGUGGAAGAACGUAUGGACACAUCUGAGACUGAACGUAACCUCUGGAGAACCUCCCCACCACUUGUGAAUGGCAAGCUCUUUGAGCCUAGAGAUCCAGGUCUCACUCAUCUCUGCGGUCCCAGGACCUGGCACAGUGACUGGUGCCCAACGACAGGUGCUCAAUACUUGUCAGUUGAAUGGCAGGGUGGGUGCCCCACUGAGCGAUGACUUCAGCCCAUUCCCAUCGCUGAGUGCCCCUUGGAAUCACAUCCCAGACAAGUAGAUGAAAUCUCCCCUUAAAGGAGUAGAGGGGUGUCCUUUCCCCCCACUAACAUCGUGAGGGGCCCUGCAGCUCUGGACAAGUGGCCAGACUUGGGACAUGGAGUCGGGUGGCUGAGGAGCCCAGGCAAGGCCAGGCGUGCAGCUGGCUAUGCCCAGACCAGGCCUCCCUGUGUGGAUGCGCACACCUGGGCGACUCAUAGCAGGUGGAUGGGCAGGUGGGGGCACUGGAGGCUGGAGGAAGGGUGGGGCAGGAUGUGGGCUGAGGGGCCAGGGAAGGUGGCAGGGAAGGGCCAGGAGGAAGCAGCUGCUUUGGUGUUGCCAUCUGACAGGCCCACAGCCUCCUUGGGCUCAGCUCCUCCACCUUAAGCCAAACACUCACUCCUCAGCGGGCGUGACUCAGACCUAAUGGAUCAUGUUGCCGUCAUCAAGGAGGGGCUGUGUUCUUGGAAGAGCGGGGCACCAGGCCAAGUCUCCGCAGGCGGCAUGAGGGCUGCUGCGCCAGGCUGGGGAGUGCCCACUUAGCUGGCGCCAAGCCCCAGGCGUUCACCCUGACCUGGGCGGGGAGACGGGGCUCACUGGCUCCCUGCCCGAGCGCAGGUUUAGGGCCACUCUGUCUGUAUGGCGUUGAUCCCAGCACGUGUGUAGGUGCCCAGGGCUUUCAGAGCUUGGCCUCUGCUCUGCUUCCAGGGGUCCCCACUCAGGCACUCCCAUGGUGUCACAGAGGCUGCACCCCUCUCACCUCACCCUCUCCUCUUCAGAGCCUCACAGCUGCCCUGGGAAUCAGGCUGGGGGUGGUACAUAUCAGCGGGCCCAUUUCUCAGAUGGGAGCACAUGUGCAGGCCCAAAGAGAGGAAGGGGUGCACCCCAGUUCACCCAACAAGUUAGUGGUAGGGCUGGGACCUGAGUGUGGGCUGGCCCUCUCCCUCCUGCCGCAUCCUUCCUCAUUCAUGCCGCUCUAGCCAUUACGGACUCCUUGAUAUUUAUAUGCCUGAGCAUACAUGCCAAGCUUUUUCCUACCCCAGGGCCUUUGCACAUACAGUUCCUCCACUUGACAGGCUCCUUCCUGCUCGCAUGUCGCCAUCUAAAAGAGCAGCCUCCUUCCCUUUCAUCAUUUUCUCCCCUUAUGCCACUUAAUUUCUCUCCUACAGAACAUAUCAUGAGUUUAUUUUGUAUUUCUUUGUUGUCAGCUGCUAGAAGGCAGAGACUUUCUCCAUCUUAUACACAGCUGAAUCCCUGGUGACUAGAACAGUCAGUGGAAUAUAGUAGGCACUUAAUUAAUAUUUGUUGAAGGAAUGAACAAACCCAGAUCACCUCUCUCUAGUCCAGAGCUCUCUCACUGUCCUCUCUGCAUCCCAGGGAAGCUGGGGCAGGGGCCUGAUGAGGGCAAGUGGCUCAGGCUGGAGGGAGGCAGCCUUGCCCCUUUGCCAGAGACAUGCCAGACACUCUGACCC